UGAAAUGCCGGGUAGGAUUUCUUUUCUUGGAAUAUUAUUAUAUCUAGUUAUGCUCAGAAUGUGUUUUGGUAACGAGUGCAUUAUGUUGUCAUUAAAUCCUGAUGUUUAUAUUGGCACUGUGAUUGUGAAUGUGUAGGCCAAGUGUGAGCGUUUAGAUAGUUCUAUAGUUGUUUUUGAUAGGAUGAGUGAGAAAAUGCCGACUGGUCUAAUGGUAGGUUAUGCACAAGCUAAGGAACUCAAAGAAACUCUGGUUCGAACCCUUUUAUAUAUGCAAUAGUAUCUUUAAAGUGUGUCUGGUGCUUGUUGAUUUGAAGUUGGCAAAUACACACUGAUUCAACUAGUUAGAGGUAUUUUGAUCUCUGACUUUAUGGUGAGAAUGCAUAUGUGCAGCCAUUCAGGAUUGGUUUUAGAAGCAAGGCAAUAUCUAGACUCUAUGAAAAGUUAAUUUUGUUGUUGAUGCAACCAUCGAGCAUCACAAUUGUAUAAUUGAUAUUUACGCUAGAGCCGGAAAUUUGGAAGACACACUGGAAUCUAUGACUGCCAUUUGAACCUAAUAUUGUGAGCUGGCAGAGUUUAUUGGGUUUGGGUGGAUGUUGGAGCUAUAGAAAUGACAAGAUUGAAAAAACUGCAGCCGGAAGUCUAGAAGAGAAAAGAACAGCUUCUUGAUCAUAGCGAGAGGCUAGUAAUCGUUGCCGGUUAUUGACCUUCAAAAGCCUCCAUGCUUGCCCCGAAUUCCAUCAGUUGAAGUAUGGGAAAUGUUCCAGCACCAAUUACUAGUGAAAAGCAGUAUCUCACCCAACAAAUGUUCUCAGCAUUAAAUUAUUUUGCACAAGCUGCAAUUACAGUUUUGUUGAGGAUCCCUUCUCUCAUUCAGGCGUAAUACGGGUGAAAAGGAUGGAAGAAUUACUAAUCAUAUAACACCAGACAGCUGGAUAUAGAGGCAGUCACACACACAUAUAAAAUGCUAAAAACACAGCGGCCCGAGCUAUAUCUAUGUCCUCGCAUUUUGCCCCUUUAAGUUCCCCUAGUUCAUAAAUCAUGUUCUCUAUCCAUUCCCGUUCGACUCCAUAGAACUUUUGCAUCUGAGCAACAACAAGUGGUG